AAAGAUGGUUCUGCUAUCACUCUUGGAUGGACCUGCGGUGCAUUAGCUAGUUGGUAAGGUAACGGCUUACCAAGGCAAUGAUGCAUAGCCGAGUUGAGAGACUGAUCGGCCACAUUGGGACUGAGACACGGCCCAAACUCCUACGGGAGGCAGCAGUAGGGAAUCUUCCACAAUGGACGAAAGUCUGAUGGAGCAACGCCGCGUGAGUGAAGAAGGGUUUCGGCUCGUAAAGCUCUGUUGGUAGUGAAGAAAGAUAGAGGUAGUAACUGGCCUUUAUUUGACGGUAAUUACUUAGAAAGUCACGGCUAACUACGUGCCAGCAGCCGCGGUAAUACGUAGGUGGCAAGCGUUGUCCGGAUUUAUUGGGCGUAAAGCGAGUGCAGGCGGUUCAAUAAGUCUGAUGUGAAAGCCUUCGGCUCAACCGGAGAAUUGCAUCAGAAACUGUUGAACUUGAGUGCAGAAGAGGAGAGUGGAACUCCAUGUGUAGCGGUGGAAUGCGUAGAUAUAUGGAAGAACACCAGUGGCGAAGGCGGCUCUCUGGUCUGCAACUGACGCUGAGGCUCGAAAGCAUGGGUAGCGAACAGGAUUAGAUACCCUGGUAGUCCAUGCCGUAAACGAUGAGUGCUAAGUGUUGGGAGGUUUCCGCCUCUCAGUG
rnacentral:rRNA from 1 species